UCUGUCUAUUACCUCUUCACGCCCAAACCGCUGAACCGAUUUUGCUGAAAUUUGUCAUGACUAUAAUUUGAGUACCGGGAAAGGACAUAGAAUACUUUUCAUCCUAGAA